GAUGAAGAACGCAGCGAAAUGCGAUAAGUAAUGUGAAUUGCAGAAUUCAGUGAAUCAUCGAAUCUUUGAACGCACAUUGCGCCCGCCAGUAUUCUGGCGGGCAUGCCUGUCUGAGCGUCAUUUCAACCCUCAUGCCCCUAGGGCGUGGUGUUGGGGAUCGGCCAAAGCCUGCGAGGGACGGCCGGCCCCUAAAUCUAGUGGCGGACCCGUCGUGGCCUCCUCUGCGAAGUAGUGAUAUUCCGCAUCGGAGAGCGAUGAGCCCCUGCCGUUAAACCCCCAACUUUCCAAGGUUGACCUCAGAUCAGGUAGGAAUACCCGCUGAACUUAAGCAUAUCAAUAAGCGGAGGA
rnacentral:misc_RNA from 1 species